ACGAAUAUGCCGAAAUUGGUAGCCGGGUAGGUUUUAGGCACUUAUUAUAAUAAGAGUUCAAGUCUCUUUAUUCGUA
rnacentral:tRNA from 1 species